CCCAAACCAAAGUGCUUGCACUUUGGGGUUGUAGGACUGACAUUGUGGAGUUACAAAGUUAACAUUUAGCAGAAUCAGCUGGGAAGCUGAGCGAGACAGGGUGAUAGCCCCGUAUGCGAAAAGUGUUAACCUCCCGUCAGAAUCCUGAGUACGGCCGGACACGUGAAAUCCGGUCGGAAUCCGCGAGGACCAUCUCGCAAGGCUAAAUACUCCCUAGUGACCGAUAGUGAACCAGUACCGUGAGGGAAAGGUGAAAAGCACCCCGGAA
rnacentral:rRNA from 1 species